AUGGGUGCAUGGCUCAUCUGCUGUGUGGCACUUUGCCUCCUUCAGGCAGACUUCGUUGAUGCUGCGGUCACUCAGACGCCAAGCCAUCUGAUCAAAACAGAAGGCCAGAGAGCAACGAUGAAGUGUAACCCUGAAAAGGGGCAGACUGUUGUUUACUGGUACCAACAGAGGCAGAACAAAGAGUUAAAGUUCCUGAUUUACUUUCAGGGUCAACAGCCUAUUGAUCAGAUAGACAUGGUCAAGAAGCGGUUCUCAGCUGAGUGUCCCUCAAAUUCACCGUGCAGCCUGGAAAUCAACAUUUCUGAAGUUGGAGAUUCUGCCCUGUAUUUCUGUGCCAGCAGUCAGUCCACAGCAUUGAAAUGUCCAUUUCCCUCAGUUCACAAACCCACCAUGGAGCCAGCUUAA